AUGACCUUCAAGCGCCGCAACGGCGGCCGCAACAAGCAAGGACGCGGCCACGUCAAGUUCGUCCGCUGCUCCAACUGCGCCAAGUGCGUCCCCAAGGACAAGGCGAUAAAGAGGUUCAAGGUGAGGAACAUCGUGGAGGCAGCAGGCAUGAGAGAUAUCAAGGACGCCUGCGUCUUUGAAGGUUACGUUCUGCCGAAGCUUUAUAUCCUGGAGCAUUAUUGCGUGUCCUGCGCCAUCCAUCAGCAUCAAGUCCGUGUCCGCUCGCGUGAGAACCGGAAGAACCGUGCGCCGCCGGAACGCUUCAGCCGCUUCAAGGAGGCAAGACCUGAGGGCCAAGCUCCACGUCCUGGUGGUAUCGGCGCGGGUCCUGGUGGUGCUGCCGGUGGUCUCGGCACCGGUUCUCCAGCUCCCAACGUCGCUAGCACCUGA
rnacentral:rRNA from 1 species